rnacentral:lncRNA from 1 species
CAAGCAAGUGAUGAAAGCAACUCACCAUUCAUUCCACCUACCAGAAGAUGAGUGGUACAAUUUAUACAUGUGAACUCCUAGCAUUCACAAAUAAUAAAAAAUCCUCAAGCUUGACAACUCAACUAGGGGAGCACUUAUGCCCAACAAGAGUUAUAGUCACCAACAAAGUCUUAUUGCAAGCCAACAACACCUUCAGUGCAUGACAUACGAAGAUCAAGCUAUUCAGCCCUCUUGCAUCUGCUUUAGACAUCUCCCCUCUGUAACAAUGCAAACACUACAACUCAUAGAAAGCUUCACAUACUCUUUAUUAAGACAGUGUGAAGCAAAACCAAUUUAUGGUGCCAACAAGAGCUUCAUCAAUGCAGGGCAACCACAAUUCUCAAAAGCUUCACACACUCUUGAUCAAGAUAGUGUGAAGCAAAACCAAUUUAUAGUGCCAACAAGAGCUUCAUCAAAGGAGUUCACCCCAUUUCUCAAAAGCUACACACACUCUUGAUCAAGACAGUGUGAAGCAAAACCAAUUUAUGGUGCCAACAAGAGCUUCAUUAAAGGAGUUCAACCACAAUUCUUAAAAGCUUCACACAUUUUUUAUCCAGACAGUGUGAAGCAAAACCAAUUUAUGGUGCCAAUAAGAGCUUCAUCAAUGGAGAGCGACCACAAUUCUCAAAAGCUUCACACACUCUUGAUCAAGACAGUGUGAAGCAAAACCAAUUUAUGAUGCCAACAAAAGCUUCAUCAAAGGAGUUCAACCACAAUUCUCAAAAGCUUCACACACUCUUGAUCAAGACAGUGUGAAGCAAAACCAAUUUAUGGUGCCAACAAAAGCUUCAUCAAUGGAAGGCAACUACAAUUCUAAAACCUUUGAAGCAAAUUCAAUUUUUAUGGUUCAUCCAAACCAUCGACUACUACAAGGUGUGACUUGCAUCACAAUCUCUUGCUCAACAGUGUGGAAGCAAAAUUUGUAUAUGUUGUCUUUUCCACAUUUUCAAAUUUCUAGUUUCCCAAAAAAAAAAAAAAAGGGAAAUUCAACAAAGCUUCAUCAAUGGAGGAUAACUACAAAUUCUCAAAAGCUUCACACUAUCUUGAUCAAGAUAGUGUGAAGCAAAAUCAAUUCGUGGUACCUAACAAAGCUUCACCAAGAAAAGCAUUAUCAAUGGAGGACAACUACAAAUUCUCAAAAGCUUCACACUAUCUU